CGUACAUGUAAAUUUUCAAAUUUUGCAAGACCUUUGUUUUUUUUAAGCGACCUUAAACCUGCAUUGAAAUGGAUUCAGUUGAUGAUCAAUCAUUUUAUCAGUGUAAUGUGUGUGAUGAUAAAUUUGAUUUGUACACAGACUUGGAAAAACAUUGUGAAAUACAUGUUAAAAGAGACGAAGAAGGAUUUUUCCAUUGCGAUGCUUGUGAUAAAACCGUUGAAUCACAGAGUUGUUUAAAUCACAAAUGUUACAUCGAUUCAUCUGUAUUAUCUUUGUCUCAAAUAGAGGCAGAAAUAAAUGGUUUGACCAGUGCAGUGCUGAGCAGUAUUAAUGAAAGGAAUUCUGCUAAUGAUAAAACAUUACAUGAAUCUGAGAUGAGUGAUGAAAAAUUUGACUCAAACACUGACACAGAACAGCGUUGCCAUGUUCAUAUGAAAAAAGAGAAAACAUGUGUUGAUGGUGGGGAUGUGGAUGGUAAUUGCAAUGUUGAUGGUUUUGAUGCCAGUGAUGCUGUUUAUGACCAUGAAGGGGAUAACACUGGUGACCAUGGUGGUGGUGCUGAUGUUGCUGGAAUCAAUGAGUUGAAUGAAGUAGAUGAUUUACAGACAAGGAGAAUACAAGAUAUAUCUGUUAAUAAAGAUCUGAAAUUAGAGACAAAUGAUAAAUUACAAGUUCCUGUGGUGAAAGAGUUUGAAUUACCAGACAAAGAAUCAUCCCAAAUUGAUCUUAGUAAACAAACUGAAGAAAAGAAAACAAAUGUUACUAAAGAAAGACCUUUUGAAUGUGAUGUUUGUGGAAAAUCAUUUAUAACUUCUGGUAGUCUAAGAAUACAUUUGAGAAUUCA